AUUGAACGCUGGCGGCAGGCCUAACACAUGCAAGUCGAGCGAGCGGCGGACGGGUGAGUAAUGUCUGGGAAACUGCCUGAUGGAGGGGGAUAACUACUGGAAAAGGUAGCUAAUACCGCAUACCAUCAGAUGUGCCCAGAUGGGAUUAGCUGGUAGGUGGGGUAAGGGCUCACCUAGGCGACGAUCCCUAGCUGGUCUGAGAGGAUGACCAGCCACACUGGGACUGAGACACGGUCCAGACUCCUACGGGAGGCAGCAGGGGGGAAUAUUGCACAAUGGGCGCAAGCCUGAUGCAGCCAUGCCGCGUGUGUGAAGAAGGCCUUCGGGUUGUAAAGCACUUUCAGCGGGGAGGCGUUACCCGCCGAAGAAGCACCGGCUAACUCCGUGCCAGCAGCCGCGGUAAUUC
rnacentral:rRNA from 1 species